CGCACAUUGCGCCUUCUGGUAUUCCGGGAGGCAUGUCUGUUUGAGCGUCAGCAAAAAACCCUUCUGUAAAUUUAUUUUUGCAGGUGUUGGGCAAGGAGGAUGGGCUUAAAAUACCCGCUCCUGCCUUAAUGUUGCUGCACGACCGCAAGCUAUUCUUGUUAGGUUAAUGGAGUGGUAAUACAUUUUUCCGUACUCUUGACAGAAUAGUUUGGUGGCGUUAAACCUGAUGUUGCUCCACCGCGACUGACGUUUGACCUCAAAUCAGAUAAGGAUACCCGCUGAACUUAA
rnacentral:misc_RNA from 1 species